GGACUACAGGGGUUUCUAAUCCCGUUCGCUACCCACGCUUUCGUGCUUGAGUGUCAGGAACGCGCCAGUGAAUUGCCUUCGCUUUCGGUGUUCCCCAUGAUAUCAACGGAUUUCACCCCUACACCAUGAGUUCCAUUCACCUCUCACGCCCUCGAGUCAUACCGUUUCGCCCGCACUUCCCCGGUUGAGCCAGGGUAUUUAACGGACGACUAAUAUGACCACCUACGCACUCUUUACGCCCAAUAAUUCCGGGUAAUGCUCGGGGCCUCUGUAUUACCGCGGCUGCUGGCAC
rnacentral:rRNA from 1 species